CACGUAGGCGGUUUGGUAAGUUGGAUGUGGAAUCGCCGGGCUCAACUCGGCAAUUGCGUCCAAUACUGCCUGACUAGAGGACGGUAGGGGAGAGUGGAACUCCUGGUGGAGCGGUGAAAUGCGUAGAUAUCAGGAGGAACGCCAGCGGCGAAGGCGACUCUCUGGGCCGUCCCUGACGCUGAGGUGCGAAAGCCAGGGGAGCGAACG
rnacentral:rRNA from 1 species